rnacentral:rRNA from 1 species
CCAAGGAGUCUAACAUGUGCGCGAGUCAAUGGGGAUCUCUCGAGACCCACAGGCACAAUGAAAGUGAAGGUGGGGCUUGUCCCCACCGAGGCGGGAUCCGUCCGGGGGAACGUAAAAAACUCCCUUCGGCGGCGCACCGCCGGCCCGUCGCAACCGCUCUAUCGCCGGUGCGGCGGAGCAAGAGCGUACACGUUGGGACCCGAAAGAUGGUGAUCUAUGCCYGGGCAGGAYGAAGCCAGAGGAAACUCUGGUGGAGGUCCGUAGCGAUUCUGACGUGCAAAUCGAUCGUCGGACCUGGGUAUAGGGGCGAAAGACUAAUCGAACCGUCUA